rnacentral:rRNA from 1 species
CCUACGUGAGGCAGCAGUGCGGAAUAUUGGUCAAUGGGCGUAAGCCUGAACCAGCCAAGUCGCGUGAGGGAUGAAGGUUCUAUGGAUCGUAAACCUCUUUUAUAAGGGAAUAAAGUGCGGGACGUGUCCCGUUUUGUAUGUACCUUAUGAAUAAGGAUCGGCUAACUCCUUGCCAGCAGCCGCGGUAAUACGGAGAAUCCGAGCGUUAUCCGGAUUUAUUGGGUUUAAAGGGUGCGUAGGCGGCCUUUUAAGUCAUCGGUGAAAGGCUUUGGCUCAACUCGAGAAUUGCCGUUGACACUGGUGGGCUGGAGUAUGUAUGAGGCAGGAGGAAUGCGUGGUGUAGCGGUGAAAUGCUUAGAUAUCACGCAGAACCCCGAUUGCGAAGGCAGCCUGCGAAGCCAUGACUGACGCUGAUGCACGAAAGCGUGGGGAUCAAACAGGAUUAGAUACCCGAGUAGUC